CGCAAGCAGCUUCAAUGACGGAUGCAACAUGGAAAUAACUGGCACCAAUUAUUAUAACACCUUAUUGGUCGUCGUUACUAUUGUUAAAAGUAAAACGAAAUCAAAGAGAAUAGAACUAUGUUUGAAUUCUGGUUUAAAUAUGACGUCUGGACGCACGACAGGGGACUGCAGAGUUCAGCGAGUGCGUAGCAUAAAGAACCUUCGAGAAAUACAAGAACAUUUAGAAGAAUUGAAGUUUCAUUUUAAAAUAUCUGGAACUUACUGAAACAAGUGACAUUAGAGACGCCAGCGAGGCUGGCGUCCUGUCUUUAAAAUAAUGAAUUUGUAAUAAAAUCCGAUAUCAGAAGUGGGAUCGCUCCUGUGAUCAGUUACUGCCGGUCUUAGUGUAUUUGUAAAUCCUGAUCCAGCUCAAGAAAAUAAUCAUCCGGAGAACUUGCGUAAUGAAGAACGCUCCUCAGUCUUUCAUGCAAAUGAUGUCAACAAUGCAGAGCGUGACCGAACGUUUGCUACUAAAAAAAAAACAAGGGAUACGAUUAAAAUUACUAACAAGAUUUUUUUGAUCCCGGUGAUAGUGUGUGUGUUCGGGAUUGAUUCAAACGCAUCUUUACGGCUGUAAAUACGUACCAAAUCAGUAACUUCGACAUUCGAAUUAAAGUCUUUUAAAGGAGCGAGCUAGAAAGUGUGCAGACGAUUGGUUAGUUGCAACAUCUACACAAGGGGCAUUACGUGAGACCAUAGCUAACAUUUGUUAUUAUCCUUUGAGCUAACCUCGUGUCCAUGAUGUAUUCUGAAGAGAACCAUGAGAUUCUGUAGGGAAGGCUUGUGGUACCGUGACAAGACAAUUAUACACCACAGAUCUGGAGAGCGUGACCUCUGAGCUAAUCGCGUGUUACCCUUGAGCUAACCACGGGUCCUUGAUGUAUCCAUAAGAGAACCAUGAGAUUUCGUAGGGAUGCCUUGUGGAGCCGUGAGAAGACAAGUCUACACCACAAAUGUGGAGAGCGUACCUCUGAACUAAUCGCGUGUUACUCUUGAGCCAACCACAGGUCCUUGCUGUAUCCUUAAGAAUACCAUGAGAUGACGUAGGGAGGCCUUGGGAAGACUUGAGUAGAAAGGUACUCACUCGAUCUAUAAGAACUUGCAUGAUUUUAAUAUCAAACUACUGAGAUUAUUGCUUUAUUUAAAAUUGUCAAUAGACAUACUCUUCACAGUAAUAUUUGCAACAUGUCUGGUUAACGGCAGUGCCUCUACAAAAACGAUGCUGUAAUUCAAACGAAAGCAUACUCGACUCCAAAAUCCUGAUCAAAUACAUCUAUUGCGAAUAUAACUAAUUUCUGUUCCUUUUCUGCUAACCGUGGUCAUGCGUUUGAAUCGUGUUUCCGACGGGAAUAAGGAGAUCACGCCGAAUUUUAAUUUAAUACCAACUGUUCCAGGUUUUGAAAUGACUACUGAUAUAUUAACCGGAGCAGAUUUAUUACGUGAUAAGAAUACAUGUGGAAAAUUUAGUAUCCUUGCCGAUGUUUUGCACAUACGAACAAGUCAAUUAUGCUUUGACAGUUUAGAUUACAAUUCAACAAUCAGUCCGUCUAAAUCGAAGUAAUGCACCAACACAUUCAAAACAGGAUGGUCGAGGCGGAGAGAAGAUACAAAGCUAGGUUUUUGAGAGGUCGAGCUACGAUUAAAAGAUUCCAGAAGGGAGAUAUUGUAAUAAUAAAAAUAUAA